rnacentral:rRNA from 1 species
AUAUAUACCCGAUAGGUCUCGAUUGCUGGAAUGCAUCGAGAUUAAAGCUCCGGCGCCUAAGGAUGGGUCUGCGGCCUAUCAGGUAGUAGUGGGUGUAGCGUACCUACUAGCCUACGACGGGUACGGGUUGUGAGAGCAAGAGCCCGGAGAUGGAUUCUGAGACACGAAUCCAGGCCCUACGGGGCGCAGCAGGCGCGAAAACUUUACAAUGCGGGCAACCGUGAUAAGGGAACCUCGAGUGCCUGUAUAUGCAGGCUGUCUGAGUGUCUAAAACACACUCAAAGAAAGGGCCGGGCAAGACCGGUGCCAGCCGCCGCGGUAAUACCGGCGGCUCGAGUGGUGGCCACUUUUAUUGGGCUUAAAGCGUUCGUAGCUGGGUUAUUAAGUCCCUUGGGAAAUCCGGCGGCUUAACCGUCGGGCGUCUAAGGGAUACUGGUAAUCUUGGAACCGGGAGAGGUGAGGGGUACUUCGGGGGUAGGAGUGAAAUCCUGUAAUCCUCGAGGGACCACCUGUGGCGAAGGCGCCUCACCAGAACGGCUUCGACAGUGAGGGACGAAAGCUGGGGGAGCCAACCGGAUUAGAUACCCGGGUAGUCCCAGCCGUAAACGAUGUGCGUUAGGUGU